rnacentral:rRNA from 1 species
CGCGUGGGAUGGGCUGGGCGCAGCCUGAUCCAGCCAUGCCGCGUGUGUGAAGAAGGCCUUCGGGUUGUAAAGCACUUUUGUCCGGGAGGAAGGCUCUGUCCUUUACCCUGGGGGGAUGACGGUACCGGAAAAAAAGCACCGGCUAACUUCGUGCCAGCAGCCGCGGUAAUAA